rnacentral:tRNA from 1 species
GGAGGGCUACGCUAAUUGGCAAGCGGACGGUCUUGAAAACCGUUGUCCGAAAGGACUUGUGGGUUCGAGUCCCACGCCCUCCG